rnacentral:rRNA from 1 species
UACGUAGGGGGCUAGCGUUGUCCGGAAUCAUUGGGCGUAAAGCGCGUGUAGGCGGUCCGGUAAGUCCGCUGUGAAAGUCGGGGGCUCAACCCUCGGAUGCCGGUGGAAACUGUCGGGCUAGAGUCCGGAAGAGGCGAGUGGAAUUCCUGGUGUAGCGGUGAAAUGCGUAGAUAUCGGGAGGAAUACCAGCGGCGAAGGCGGGCCUUCUGGACGUAUAACGUGACGCUGAGGCGCGAAAGCUACGGGUAGCAAACGGG